GAUGAAGAACGUAGUGAAAUGCGAUAAGUAGUGUGAAUUGCAGAAUUCAGUGAAUCAUCGAAUCUUUGAACGCACAUUGCGCCCUAUAGUAUACUGUAGGGCAUGCAUGUUCGAGCGUCAUUUGUACCUUCAAGCUUUGCUUGGUGUUGGGUGUUUGUCCUCUCCCUGGUGUUUGGACUCGCCUUAAAACAAUUGGCAGCCAGUGUUUUGGUAUUGAAGCGCAGCACAAUUUGCGAUUCUGGCCUUAAAAUACUAGCGUCCAUAAGUACAUUCUCACUUUUGACCUCGGAUCAUGUAGGGAUACCCGCUGAACUUAAGCAUAUCAAUAAGCGGAGGA
rnacentral:misc_RNA from 1 species